CUGAUUAUUUAAAAACCUACAUACUUUGGUAUGUGCCACAAGACUUGGAUCAACAUGCUGUCUUCAGGUUAUGCCAUGCACGUGGGUCCCUCGGCAAUCAUUAAUGUGACCGAAACAACAGACAACGUGCUGCUGUCAGAAAAGGAUGACAACAUGUGGUUUCGUGUAGCGGGCUGAGAAAACCGGCCAGGACGGCCAAGGUUAAGGGCCAAGUAGAAUACUUGAGGAACGAGAGCGCCUUUCUGGGAGAGCUGGUGUUUGGGAGCGCAGACACCAUUGAACUUUCCUGUGACAGCCACGGCUCUUCUGUGCCUGUUUUCUGGUUUAAAGACGGUAUCGGGAUUGCACCUCCCAGCAGAGCUCGUACUGGGCAGAAGCUGUUGAAGAUCAUCAGUGUGUCAUGCGAUGGCUCGGGGCUGCACAGCUGCAAGGCGAGGCAUUCCGACCAGGUCCUGGGAAACUUUACAGCCAGAGGUACAGAGUGAAGAAUGCGAGACCUCGCGGCUCAGGUAACGAGCAGCCUGCUGCAGUUUCCCGAGGUGACCAUUCAGG